rnacentral:lncRNA from 12 species
CCUAGCUGUGUGACCACUCUGUGCUUCAGUCUCCCUACCUGAAAAAUACCUAACUUCACUGGCAUUUUUUAAUGAUCCCCUGGGAAGUUAUGGGUAAAAGCUUUAUUACUGUGUCUGGCAUGUAGCAAGUGGCCAGUAUAUAUGACCUGUUAUUAUUACAAAAUGCAAAAUGGGAAGAGGUGCAGGUUUGGGCGGAAGGUGACGAGUUUGUUUUGAGGCCACUAUGUACAAAAUCUGAGGUUCCUGUAAGGCCUCAGGGGCGAGCGACUGGGAAUGGGUGUCUGAGCACUCAGAGAGCUUGUGAGCUGAGGCUCUGGCUGCUGUUCACUCCUCAGCUUCAUGGAGGCAACAGGCCUUGUUGCAAUGGCAGAGAUUUCCUUGCCCUUUCUUCUCGAUCUCAGAGAUACACAUGAUUAAAAAUCCCCAGACUGGAACCGAAGGGAAUAGGAAUCAGAAGUGUUCAAAGGUGAAUUGUGGACUUUGGAAUACCUAGAUGUUGUUGUUGUUUGACUGUAAAAUAAGACAGUUCAUCCUGGAUGAGAUCUUCUUUGAAAAUCUGAUGAAAGCAUACACAAUAUAUAAUAAAUGCACAUACACCACCUUUGCCUCUAAUUUCAGAGUUAGACACGAACCUCUGAAGUGUGUGGAUACCCAGCUGAGGUUCCCUCCCUGUCCAAUACUCGUUGGUGACCCAUAAUACUUAAAACAUUCAUCGAUGUGGGGGUGGAGGAAAAAACAUUCAUAGAUGUGCCCAGAGAUUUCUGGGCAGUGGGUAGUGUAUUUUAAAAAGUGGAAAACUAUACUGAGAAUAACACUGAGCUUUAAGGUGCUGGGAAGAGAAUGAGCAUAUGUGCUCUGGGAAAAGCAGGAGCUGGUGCGGCUGGAAGGGAAUUGAGGACGAAUUUAAAUCCAAGAAGAAGAUCAGCUAUAAAAGGCACCUACAAGGAAGUGGUUUAUUUCUUGGUUAAAAACACCAGUUUAGAGGGACUUCAUGCAUACUUUACAAGCCGACUCUGCAAAAAUACACUGCAGAUAUUCCUGGAAUGAACGGCAAAGGUAACUGCUCUGAAUUCUGAUGAGACAGCCUGGGAAGAGCUGGCACAUCUAUGAUCUAUCGUGGCCCUAUAAAAAAGGAAAGUGAAAAAGAAAAAUUGUUUGAUAAGCACACACACCAGGUGACUUAAAUCGCAAGAUCUUAUUUUAAUUCUCAUAACAGCCUUACGAGGCAAUGUUACCCCAUUUUACAGAGUGAGACAGGAUGAUGAAGACGUUAAGAUUGAAUCAAAGUCAUCCUGCUGGUAAGUGGCAGAGCUAGAAUUCAAAUCCCUGUUCUUGUCACCAUAUUACUGUCCAUUUGUAGUGGCUCUUCACUCUCUACCAUUCCUUGUCCUUAGUAGGGUGAUUCUACUGCUAUCCUUUUAUCCAAAAACUUUCUUGUGAGAGCCAGAUUUUCUACUUCCUUCAAAAGAACAACCCAGGGACCAAUGAUGUUAUAAAGGACUUAUGAGGAAAAUGGAAAUCCCUCACAGACAGAGAUGCUCUGGCUCUGAGAUGGGGAAAUCCAGAGAUGAAAAUUUUGUUUUCCUCACAGGACUAUGGCAUUUUUAGUCAGUGGAUCCAACCAGAAUAUGAUUUAUUAAGAAUUUGAGACAUCAGUCAUUGUGAUUUCACAUACACACGUGUAUUAUUUUAUUAGCCAGACAGUGACAGUCAUUGUCAAGUGGAGGACCUAAUUCAGACUAAAUAAUCAUGCUCGUUUUGUCCACAGAGGACAAAAGAAUUUUGAGCAAUCUGAUUUUCAGAUGACUGAAUCUUUCUUUUUAGUUACUUGAAGGCAGUGAGAGGAGAGGUUGCUUGGACAGAAC